rnacentral:rRNA from 1 species
CGCCUUGCCAGCCCGCUCAGAAACUUAAAGGAAGUUGACGGGGCCCGCACAAGCAGCGGAGCGUGUGGUUUAAUUCGAUGAUACGCGAAGAACCUCACCCAGGUUUGACAUGCAUGUGGUACUGAUGUGAAAGCUGAGGGACCCUUCGGGGAGCAUGCACAGGUGUUGCACGGCCGUCGUCAGCUCGUGCCGUGAGGUGUUGGGUUAAGUCCCGCAACGAGCGCAACCCCUGUCGCCAGUUGUAUUUUUCUGGCGAGACUGCCGAGAAAACCUCGGAGGAAGGAGGGGACGAUGUCAGGUCAGCGUGGCCCUUACGCCUGGGGCUACACACACGCUACAAUGGGCAGUACAACGGGUCGCUAAGCCGCGAGGCGGAGCCAAUCCCAUCAAAGCUGUCCUCAGUUCGGAUUGCAGGCUGAAACCCGCCUGCAUGAAGCCGGAGUUGCUAGUAACCGCAGGUCAGCAUUACUGCAGUGAAUACGUUCCCGGGCCUU